rnacentral:snoRNA from 1 species
GGUCGAUGAUGUUGUUUCAAGACGGGAAUGAUAUGCUAUUGAUUAUAUGCGAGUUACUGAGGCC